rnacentral:rRNA from 1 species
CAGUCGCCGCGGGAAUACGGAGGGUGCAAGCGUUAUCCGGAUUUAUUGGGUUUAAAGGGUCCGUAGGCGGAUCUGUAAGUCAGUGGUGAAAUCUCACAGCUUAACUGUGAAACUGCCAUUGAUACUGCAGGUCUUGAGUAAAUUUGAAGUGGCUGGAAUAAGUAGUGUAGCGGUGAAAUGCAUAGAUAUUACUUAGAACACCAAUUGCGAAGGCAGGUCACUAAGAUUUAACUGACGCUGAUGGACGAAAGCGUGGGGAGCGAACAGGAUUAGAUACCCGGUAGUCCCUGUCUCUUAUACC